UAUUCAUUGCUAUUCAUGCAAUAAUGUUUCAGUCUUUGAAUUACCCAGAUAUACAUAUGAAAGUUGGAAAGUCGAAGGGAAACGGGUUAAUAUUCCCGUACCUGGACACGGAGAUAAAUACUCAUCGUGAGAAUUUAGCUCGGUAACGCAAAUGAACUCGGAAACAUUGAGGAAAGCCCGAGCCAGAGUUCUCUUUUCUAGUUAAGGAACGGACUCCCUGGAAUCGGUUCAGCCGGAGAUAGAGAUGUUGUUUCUGUAAAGCGCUACGGUUCCUGUGGUGUCUCGUACGCUUUUGUUCGAUCCAUGAAAAUCCGAGGGAAGCUAUUUGAAUUUCGUGCCAG
rnacentral:ncRNA from 1 species